CAAAAGGGUCUUCCAGACAACAAGCUGGGCUUAGAGGAAGGAGAGCAGAGGGAAGAGUUAUGGAAAAAAGACUGCGAGGUACUCAGAGACUAUGACCCCUAAACAUUUCGAAUGGAAGUGAGGACCCCUUUGGACACUUUUGAAUGGAGGUGCAGACCCCUUUGAACUCUGUCCACCGCACCUCUUCCUCAGAAGCAAAUAGAAGAGAACGGGAAUCUCCGGGAAAUCAAAUUACAAAACAUUGAAAAGAACUGCAGUGAUGAAGGGAAAAUGGACUACGCAGAGAGGCCAUGGACAUGACACUUCUACAUCCUACUGUGAUUACAGCUGGGUUGUUGAGUUGCUGAUAUAAAUUAAAACAGCGCCUAAAUUGUGCUAACCCACCACACUGGGACUUGUGCAAACUGUAGCACUAAGAGAGUGCUGAACUUUAUUAGCUUUGCAUGUGUGGCCCCAUCUAUACGCAGUGUGAUUUGGUUUAAUAUAGUAUAUCAAAACUGUUGCUAGAGUAAGUUGUUUCAGUAUAUAAAGGACACCAUUUGCACUUGUCUUACUUUAGCAGGCUUCUUCUUGCCCUAGUCCAUAACUCAGGCUUCCUUUACUUAGUUAGCCAUUUGUAAACCCACUGAGAAAACACAAAGAGGGGAAAAAAUGAAAACAGUGACAAGCCCCCAAAACAGAUACAUUUUGUGUCAAAUCUGUUGCUAAAAUGUGCUCAUCCCUAGUGGUGAAUAUUAAUGAAGACUGGUUCCAGGAUACUUGUAUGUAUUUCCUGCGCUCCUUUAUCAUUCUCGCUCAGCCUAUCUAUAGCCAACUAUGGAUGUGGCAUAGAAGGUGGCAACCAAUUUGUACUAAUGUCUUGCAUAUUCUGUCGUCUUCAUUGGUGCAGGUUUUCCCCUCGUACUUCCAUAGAUGAGACGCAAGUCUACUGAACACAACAGGAAGUGCUAAAUGUUAAGAGUGGUAGCAUUGAGAAACUUUUUAUUGACUAUGCAAUUAAAGUCGCAGGAGGGGACCUGCAGGAACUAUAGUAUUGACCUUUGGUUUUCACUGUCCUAUUAACUUUCUAAGGACUUGGGAAACUUUAUGCCUUGGUGGUUAAAAGGAUAAAGUUACCAGAAUAACAGAGAAAUAACAACAAAUGUCCAGGUUCCUCAAAAGAAAAGGGGUAUAUGCAAAUUAAAUUAGACCAUGCAAGACAUGAGACAGAUUUCCAUUGAGUCUAUUAGCUACAAAACCAGUGGUUGAA